rnacentral:lncRNA from 1 species
GCUAAUGUUUACUGUCGCCCUUCACGCAGAUGGACAGCUAGCUCUGCUGGUUUAGCUACCAGCUAGCUAUGUUACUGGUCCUUCACGCAAAGAUGGAACAGCUAGCGUCUGCUGGUUAGCUACCAGCUAGCUAAUGUUACUGUCCCUUCACCAGACGGGCAGCUAGCUCUGCUGCUUAGCUACCAGCUAGCUAGCGUCCCUCUACUUCCACCUAUGCACCAUCUCUUCUCUUGUCCUUGGACCAGAUCACAUGAUCCAGGAAUCUGAGUAGCAUUCCCAGUUCCACUGUUGGUAGCUGAGGACAAAAGCGAAAGCACUGCACUCUGGGAAAUGUAUUCUCUGAGGCCUUGUUGUAGCAUGGGGUGUCUGAGGACCUGAAUGGAGAGGUGUCCAGAGCUUCUGCCUGAUGAAAGGCGC